CCUACGGGAGGCAGCAGUGAGGAAUAUUGGUCAAUGGACGAGAGUCUGAACCAGCCAAGUAGCGUGAAGGAUGACUGCCCUAUGGGUUGUAAACUUCUUUUAUAUGGGAAUAAAGUGUUCCACGUGUGGGAUUUUGUAUGUACCAUAUGAAUAAGGAUCGGCUAACUCCGUGCCAGCAGCCGCGGUAAUACGGAGGAUCCGAGCGUUAUCCGGAUUUAUUGGGUUUAAAGGGAGCGUAGGUGGAUUGUUAAGUCAGUUGUGAAAGUUUGCGGCUCAACCGUAAAAUUGCAGUUGAAACUGGCAGUCUUGAGUACAGUAGAGGUGGGCGGAAUUCGUGGUGUAGCGGUGAAAUGCUUAGAUAUCACGAAGAACUCCGAUUGCGAAGGCAGUUCACUGGACUGCAACUGACACUGAGGCUCGAAAGUGUGGGUAUCAAACAGGAUUAGAUACCCGUGUAGUC
rnacentral:rRNA from 1 species